GCCCCGCGGCCCGCGAGGGCGGCCGGGCGCCGAGUGCGGGGCAGCCCGUGGGCGAAUGACGCUGAGGAGGGCGCGCGGCGCUGCGAGCAAAGAAAGGCCUCUGCCGCUUCCCAGCGCUGCGGGCUGCAGGGAGGCCGUUCCCGCGGAGCAACCCGCAUCCUCUUGUCCUCCCCCAGCGGGUCUGCGAGCCCAGCCGGCAGCCUCGGGGAAGUCGCAUCAAGACUUUGUGUGUGAUGACAGCCCUCGGUUUUCUAGGCUGGGCAUCGGAAAGGAACUCUCCCCCCUCGGCUGGGACCAGGCGUGCGCACAGGAGGGAUCCUCCUGGCCAGGGGUCGCCAACCUUGUUAUGGUGAAGAUCACUUUUUGGGACUAAAGGUCACUCCAGCAUCUACUGCACCCUGCCCCGGGCCACGCGCCCCUGGACCAUGGGGUGUCCCAGGCCUGGCCAGGCAGCGCCAGAUCCCACUUCUGGGCUAUGGCUACACUGAGCCACACCCGCCCGGCAGCCAGAGGAAGGUGGCAUUAGGCCCCGGCCCAGCUGGGUCUGGAAGUCUCCAUGGUCCAGGGGUGCGUGGCGUGGGGUGGGGGGCUCCCACCACUGGGUGCAGCCUGGCGGAGGCCCCAGGGGCCUGUGCUCUCCCCACCUGUGCUCGGGAUGAGGCAGCUGCUGCUGUGGGCUGCUUGCUGCACCCCGAGCCCAGGUGGGAGCAGGGCAUGGGCCUCUGCCUGGCUGUGCCCAGCAGCGGAGCCCCCCCCACGCCCCUGGACAGCCAGAUCUUCCCAGACCUGGCUGGGCCGGGGGCGCCCCCACUUAAGUCCCUGCUGCUGAGCUAAGCUGCACCCACAUGUCCCUGCUGUGAGUCCCUGCUGCUGAGAUGAGCAGGUGCAGAGGCAGCAGCUUCUGCCACCUCCACCCCUGCAGAGAUGGCCCCCCCAGGCUCCAAUCUUCCCACCACGCGGCCAGACUAGGACCCCACUUACCUUCCCCUGCUCCAGGCUGGGCUGCACAGUCAGCUGCCCACUAUGGGGGUCCUUGAUCUGGCUCCCGCCCCUUCCCUCCCCACACAGAUUGACCUGCUGGGUGGGGCUGGGGGCAGCAGGUGUGCAUAUGCACACAUGCCCAGCUGUCCCCCCAGCCCAGGAUCUACCAAAAGAGGCUCCAGGACCUACCUGUAGUUCAGGAUCCCCAGGUUGGUGACUACAGCUCUAACUCAAAUGCAGAGAAGAAAUGCCAGGUGGGAAGAAGGGAAAGUAGAUUUGACUUAGUAGUAGAGCUUAGUGAGGUGGGGAGGUACAGAAGGUGUGAUGGGGAAUGGUAAUAUUGGGAGUAGCCAAGGACACUCUGACUGGAGGUGGGGAGGGGAAGAGGAAAUCAGGGCUGGUUAGCAGUGAAACUGGGACUUGCAGCUAGUGGCUGGAAAGGGGGACUAUGAAACUGCAUGGGAAGCCAGGAGGAGGGAAGAGAAGUGGCUGGGUGAGGACAGGACACUGGGAGAAGAGGGGACAGAAAUCAAGAGGAUAAACUGGAACUUGGGCAAGGAGACUGGGAUGAGAAACUUGAAAGUUGGGACUGGGUUGUCAAAAAGAAUGAGGAUGUGAACCAGGAGCCAGAGGUUGGGCCCAGUGGAGGCACUACCAUGGCUACCCACACUGGAGGGGUGAAGGACCCAGCCACUGCCAGCCUGCAGCCCCUACUAAGCCUGUAGGCCUUCUUGCGAGGAAGAUGCACUCUGCAUCUCAGUGGGGAUUGCUAACAUUGUUUCUCCCCUGCAGCUGGUUGCCAGCCCAGAGGGAGAGGACUAGGCCCAGCAUAGACAUCACUAUGGCUGCCUCCAGCUGGAGGGGAGAAAGGCCCAGACAGCUUGCAGCCCCUACAAAGCCUACAAGCCUCCCUGGGUGCUCCUGAAGGCCCCGCUGGCAUUGCCCUUGUGUAACAACACAAGUAGAGACAGAGGGGGUUUUGGUAUUUCUUGUUGUAACUUUGUCAAGGGAAAGGGAAAGAUGAAUGGCUUUUAAGGACAGCUACAGCCCCCUGUGCAAGAGGGGAGUACAGACUUAGGGGUAGGCAGGGGUGGACUCCCCAGUAGGAGAAGGGGAAGAAAACUUCUGUCUUUGAUGGAGGUUGGGAAACACGGUUCAGCUGGGUAGGAGAAAGAUACUCCUAGGUGAAAGGUAGAGGAGCAGGAGUGGGUGAGGUAUAAUGACAUUUUUUAAUUUGGGAGAGUUAGUAUGUAACAAAACAAUCUUAUUUCAACAUUUUUGGGUUUUUUAAAGUUAUUUUGUCUUUUAUUAUAAGCUGCUCUGAGUCUUUUUUGGGGUGGAUGCUGUAUAAGUCUCAGACCAGCAGAGACUCCGUAUGCCUGAAAGCUUGCUAAGAACUUUUUCCAACUACUCAGUUUGUUUAAUAAAAUGUAUCACAUCUCCUCAAAGAACCUGGCCUGGCUAAAAUAGAACCAGUUGCUAAGAAAUUGUAGACUCUUUUUGCACCGUAGAGGAAGCUGGAUAAACAUCUCUCUGGGAUGCUUUAGGAACAGUGAAUACUGCAUACUUGCAGGGGGUUAGAUUAGAUGACCCAUGACAUCCCUUUCAACCUGACUCUAUGAUUAAAGAUAUAGAAAAUGAUAAAAUGUAACAAAGGUUUACUAAAAGCAAAUUGUGAGGGGCCAAUCUGAUCUCUUUACCUACUGAAUUUGAGGCAGCAGACAGCUGAUUUUGCCAGCAGAUGCCAGGGCUGGCUGCCAUUUUUUGCAGGCCAAGUGCAGCAGGCUUCCCCCCUCCCCAUGCCUUUGACUGGCUGAGGUGCCCUGGCAGUCCCACUUCUAGUAAAUUGCCAGAUGGACCAAAACCACAGCUUAAUUACCCUGAUUAAACCCAGAAAACCUAUUAAUCCAUGCAUUAAGUAGAUGAGGAGGGUAGAUGUUAGGAGGGGGAGGCAGGAACUGCUUGUGCAGCCUCCCCACUCUCCCUGUUCCCCCUCCCCUUCCCCCCCCCCAUCCCCUGCUCAAGACUUCAGGGCUUCCCACCUUUUUCUCUGCUUGCAGUUAUAGUUUGGUUUUGUUUUUUGCAGCAAGCCCACUGUUUUUCAUGGAGCCCACCCAUAUCCUUGCUUUCUGCGAAAACCAUGCAAUUGCAAAUUUGGUAGGUCCCUAUUUAUAGCAUUGUUAUAUUUCUUUUGUCUGUAACUGGGUUGUUCAGAUUCUGAGUGGCUGUGGGCCCCUGCGAGGAAAGCAGAAGCUGGAGGGGAGAGAAAGGAAGCCCAGAGACCUCAGUGGCAGCAGCAGGAGCACUGGGGGAAUAAUACUUGGGUGCAAGCCUGCAUUCUGUAACUUAAUACCUCAUGGGCCACCAGUUGGAUACCCUGGUUAAAAAAAAAUCAUUUCUCAUCUAUCUGGACUUCAGUAAUGCACAUUAUUAGUGAUACUAGAGAAGAUUAAUAUAAGAACUGUAAAGUGGGAAAUGAGCUGUUGAAACUGUCUAAAGCAACAUGUAUUGAGAUGGAGGGAGUUUACUCAUAAAGUAACUUCUGGUUGCUAAUAAAGUUCUUCUGGGACCAGACUUAUAAUUGAUAUUGUUUGAUAUUUUAUUAAUGACCUUGACACAAAGAGUAGGUAUGUACACAUUAUUUUUUCUGAUGAUGACAAGUUAGGAGGGACUGUCAAAUUGGAGGUGGGAGAAGGGGAGGAUCAGGGUAUUAUAAUACAAGAAGAAAUGGAUGACCUUGAAGACUGGAGCUAAUAGAGUCAUAAAGAAGGGCCAGAAGGGACCUCCAGAGGUCAUCUAGUCCAACCCCCUACCUGAGGCAGGAUCAUCCCUAUCCAUAUCCCUUAUGCCCUAUCCAUAAUCUAAACUACGUAAGACUACCUGCAACACUGACACAGCAUAAACCUAACACCUUAACAUGUUACAGGUAAAGCAGGGGAACCACAGCAGCCAAUGUCCUGCUACUAUAAAAUGUUGUCCAUGUAUGCUCCAGAGGUCCCAGGUAGAGGGCCACACCCCCCACUACUGAGGAAGACAAAACCCCCAUCGUCUGUACCAGUCUGAGCAUAAGGUCAUGGACUUCACAAGAAGGAAGAAGAGAAUUCCCCAGCACUCCCGCUACAUUAAAGGGGUGGAACAGCUUAAUAAAUGGGUGGCUUGUGCAAUUUG